UACGUAGGGGGCAAGCGUUAUCCGGAUUUACUGGGUGUGAAGGGGGCGCAGACGGCGAUGCAAGCCAGGAGUGAAAGCCCGGGGCCCAACCCCGGGACUGCUCUUGGAACUGCGUGGCUGGAGUGCAGGAGGGGCAGGCGGAAUUCCUGGUGUAGCGGUGAAAUGCGUAGAUAUCAGGAGGAACACCGGUGGCGAAGGCGGCCUGCUGGACUGCAACUGACGUUGAGGCCCGAAAGCGUGGGGAGCAAACAGG
rnacentral:rRNA from 1 species